rnacentral:lncRNA from 1 species
UACAACGGCAACAUCUGCUAAAAUUGACCCGUGAAGUCAGGUGGUAGGCGGGAAUACCCAAGUGGUUAUCCAUACAAAGAUAACAUCAGCUCAAACUAACCUGUGAAGUCAGGUGGUAGGUGGAAAUACCCAAGUGGUUAUCCGUACAAAGACAACAUCUACUAAAACUGACCCGUGAAGUCAGGUGGCAGCCGAAAAUACCCAAGUGGUUAUUCGUACAAAGACAACAUCUGCUUAAACUAACCCG